GGGCUCACAGGAAUAAUGUUGAGAAUGCCUAUUUCACUAUGUGAAUAAUGUUUUCAAACUCAGAUUCCUAAACACAGCCUUUUUUUUUUUUUUUUUUGGUGCCAGGGAUUGAACUCGGGGCCUUGUGCUUGUGAGGAAGGCAGGCAGCGGAACCACUGAGCUAAAGCCUCUGCCCCAACACAGCCUAUUCUUAAAGACAUACAGCACACAUAUUUGGAGUUCCAGUGGGCUUUUAUUGAGAUAAAUUAACAAAAAUCAAGAUUUUUCCAACCAUUUUUCUGAACCUUAUAAAACUCAGCAGACUCUGGUCCACAUACACGUACAUACAACAUAACACAUCCCUACAAAAACAGAGCCCCACUGGAACACUUGCCAAUUAACAGAAAGCCAAUUUUCUCUUUUCCUAAAUGUUUUCAAAAUUUUGAGUUCCCACUGUUCACUUCUCAGUGGAACUGGUCCCUUGUGGCUAGGGACACUGGAAUUUUCUCCCGUUUUUAAUGAACAAAAAUUACAUUUUUUAAAGUUUGUUUUGUUUCAAAAAAAAGGGAAGUAACUUUGUUUUCUCCAGGCACCCCUCCCCAACAACCACUGGUUAAAAUACAGGAGCCUGUAUCUUAACAACCCAGCCCUACCCCUCCCUUGCCCUGCCCAGCAUCAGCUACUGGAGAAUUUAAAUACACUUCUGUUAGAAUCUGUCAGUUAUGGAGGGGCAGAGUCCAGGUGCCAGGCUAGCUCCCUCUGACCUCAUGAACUCUGACAACCUUUGGACACUUAACUCUUUACCCUAAAGAUGAGUUUUAGGAUGAGAGAAGAGUUUAGAUUUUCCUUUGGAGUAAAGAAAAAAAACAAAACAAAACAAAAAACCCUUUAUGAAUAUAAAGUACAAGGUCUCGAAAGUCCACCUAAGUUCACCAAAAAGCUGACUUAUUUUAGUUCCUAUGAGGUCAAUAAUUUUGCCUGACAAAGCUAUUUGGCAAGAAAAUGAUUCCACAGUAACAAUUUUAAAGAUACAUAUGACAAUUGAAAAAAACACAGCAAAUUAAAAUAACAUGGCUUAAUUCCCAAGAACUUAUCUUUUUGUUACUCAUCUAGUAGGUCAGGAGUGUGGCUAAAGGCAGUUUCUGAUGAGGUUAUUAUGAGCUUCCAAAGUGUUUCUAAAUCCUUAGUGCAGACACCCUCCCUUUUGGGGACAUGGUACCCUCCCUCCCACCCGUUAUUUAAAAAAAAAAAAAUUAAAUCAAGUGAUCAGAAUGAGAUGUUUUGAUUCCAACAAUCUACACUCAAGGCUUUGUGCUGAGUCAUCUUGUUCUAACCCAGUAUGAUGGUAUCAAACACAAAGCAAGUGACUAGGGAAAGAUGCUCCCAUCUCAUUCUGAAAAUCAAUACUGAUAACCACCCACCCCACCCCAACAUUUUUGGGCCAACCCUAUGUUCAUCAAUGCUGGGACCAACUUGAAAAUAAUUCCGAAAUAUAUUUAGGUUUUCCUCUUUCUUACUUCUUCCUGAGAACAAUCUUUUAGGAUAAACUUAUUCCACUCUCAAGUAAAGGCAAUAGCUUCUUUCACCUUCAGAACAUGAGUUGGAUAUAGUUUUACUAUAGGGACUAUUUCUUAUCUAAAUGAACCACUGGAAAAAAUAUAUAUAACCAUUACUUAGAAACAAAUCCAAUAUUAGAAUCUAAAGACAAUUUCCAAAAGUAACAAUUCUUAUUUUGAGGGAUAAAAAAAAAAAAAAAAAAAAGACUAGGCUUGACCUAGUCAUUAGAGCAUCUUUCCUUUAACAAUUCCUAUUUGAGUCAAGCACCAAAACUGGACAGCUGCCUCAUUAAAGGAUAGUGUCCAAUCCUGGCAUCCCAGAUAGUUUUAAGUGCCACUCCUCAUCAGAGGCUGUACUUCAGUAAUACUUUCAAUUUUAAGUCUGUGCUUUAAGAGGGACCCAACAGGCAUGUGGCACCAGGCAGAGCAGUCUAAGGUUGACAAGGAGACUGCACUUUUUGUUUAGUCGCCCAUUUUCUAGCGAGAUAUACAAUUACAUUUAUACUCCUUGCUUUUACAAGAAUGAUCCCUCUUCUCUCGCUAGAAGUGGGGGAGAAAGCUGCAUCAGUACAAGGGCAAGAUUUGUUGGUUAAAAGAUGACACCUUUUAAGUCCCCACCCUUACCCCUCCCUGGAAAAAAGAUAAAAUUUAAUGUCCUUAAUUAGGAUUUGUGUUUAGUAACCAACACUGGGUAAGUUGAGUUGGAUUCCAAAGAAAUAACCUUGCUCUUUUUAGGGUUUGUACUAUGCAGCUCUUUCUACAGUUAAAGAGUCAGGGCUAUGUCAUGUCUGAUCAGGAGACAUCUGUAGGAUUUUGAUCCUCAAGGAAUUUUGGGUAACUUGCAAAUAGUUUUACUUAGAACUAGGCAGAGUCAAAAAAGCAACUUCAAAUAAUUGAUUUCUUUAUCCAGAUGAGUUAAGCAUGAAAGCAUAUGCAGGGUUUAUCUUGUAAUAUUUUAGGGUUUUGAGAAAGGACAGAAUAUGGAAAUCAAUUUUUUUUUAAUUUUAUGUUUUGCUUUUUUUUUCCUAGAUGACUCCUGAUUGACCUAGUACAGUGGGUUAAAAGGGAAUUAAAAACAUUAAAAAAAAAAAGUUCACUGGUUUUGAUUCAUCUCACGCCUUUUGCCUGGAGAUCAGGCCAAACAUCAAGCAUGUUGGGAGGGGCACAAUUUAAAGCAACACUAUUGACUGUUAAGCAUUUGCCAGCAAUUUACAAUGCGAAAUGACAGGUAAAGAUUCUUGUCAACAACGCAAGAGGAUGGCAAGCAGCUUUCUGUAGCAUGAAAGUUAACAGCUCUUGGGUUGCCCAUGCCUGCAAGUUUACAUGGGCAGAGGGCAACACACUUGUAACACUACAGGAGAUGACCCACAGAAAAUUAAGUUCCAGAACUGCUAACACUGCCAAAGCUGGUACUGGCUAAGUAUUCUGAAAUGCAAAUUCAUGCUUUAUACAUAUUCUACUCAAAGAUGCUGCCACUCAACUGAAUUCUCAUACUGCAAAGUAGAUUAAUCUUUGCUCCCUUCUGCAGUUUGAAAGUUGCUCUUUUAGAAAGGGAAAUGCAAAAUCAGAGAGCUUCUUAAAAAUUCAUCUUGAUUAUAGAUUUUUAAAGCUUUCUUGCUCUCUGGUUAAGACUGUUCCAUAUAAUGAGACAGCAUGGCAGCAAACAGUGCAUCCCAGACUUCUGGGUCCCUUUUCUUACACAGGGUCCCCAUUGAGGUCUGCUCUCUACAGUAAGAGGCCAAAGGACUUUUUGAGAAUGUAGUGUUGCGGAAAACUGAGCCCCUCUCAUCUUUUGCUGCUCCCAUAAUCACUCUAAUCCCCUUAAUCCCAGCAACCUUCAUCCAAAAAAAAAUAAUAUAUAUAUGUAUAUAUAUAUAUAUAUAUAUAUAUAUGUGAACCCAGAAAAAAACUUAUUUACAAAGUUUAUACAAGUAUACACACCCAAUUUUCUAUGGGACGCGCUUUGCCACAGAGGAAAGAGGGUCGAGGCUCUGACAUGUCUACACAUCAAGUGCCAUACUGCUAAUGGAGGCGUAUGUAAACCAGUCUUUAGUGUUCUGCUAUAGAGCACAAAGGCUUGUCAUAUGGCUCCUGCAAUGACAGACUGCUCUUUCCUUUGGGAGCGAUGAUGUUAUAUCUACUCAGCCCAGAAGAAAUUUUUACUUGGGAUUGUUUUCUUAAAUACAUGUAUUUACAGUGCGGAUGAACUGCAGUUGCAUAUCAACUCCUCCACAUAAAGAAAAUAAAAAUGGUACUUAACAUUACUAGUAAGUUUCAUCUUCCAGCCCUGGGCUUGAGUACUGGGUAGAAAGGGAAGAGAGACUUCAAUGUGAAACCAAAAUGAACAGACAAAAAUUUUUUAAAAAGAAAAGGGGAAAAAAAUGAAGAAAUUACUCUGUUAAUUCCUUGGGCUGUGUCUAAAAGAUGAUAUUCUGAAUGGUCUCAUAGCAUAAGGCACUUCGCACAAAUAAGUAAUAAGCUCUUCAGGCUUAAAAAACGGAUGAGUAAUCACGGAGAAGUUGAAAUGCACUCAAGAGUCAGCUGUUGGAGAAUUUCAAAAUUGUAGACAAGCUUGUGUGUUCAUCAAGAUUCUUCUCUUUUUAGGGUUUCUCCCCUUCUCUUCUUUUCCUCCUUCCUUGUCCCUUUCCCCAGAAAACAUUUUUAAAAAACCAGCAGUUAGUGCAACUAAUGUUCAGUCAGCACACAGUGCAAACAAGUAGAACAAAAAAGGUAUUUUCCUUCUUUUCAGUUUUCUCUUCACCAGUUAAAAAAGAAAAAUGUCUGAGCUCUUUUAAGUCUUCAUAGUUCCAAAAUAAAAGAUGAAAAACCCACAAAGAGAAGACCACCCCCCAAAAAAGAUGUGUCACAGAUCCAAAGGAGCCUUCUGUAGUUUGUCAAAG
rnacentral:lncRNA from 1 species